CCGAGUUUACAACUCCCAAACCCAUGUGAACAUACCUAUCGUUGCUUCGGCGGAUCGCCCCGGGCGCCUUGCGUGCCCCGGAUCCAGGCGGCCGCCGGGGGACCUUAACUCUUGUUUCUACUGAGAAUCUUCUGAGUCGUUUUACAAAUAAAUAA
rnacentral:misc_RNA from 1 species